rnacentral:rRNA from 1 species
GGCCGCGGGAAUUCGAUUCAGGCCUAACACAUGCAAGUCGAGCGGUAGAGAGAAGCUUGCUUCUCUUGAGAGAGGCGGACGGGUGAGUAAUGCCUAGGAAUCUGCCUGGUAGUGGGGGAUAACGUUCGGAAACGGGCGCUAAUACCGCAUACGUCCUGCGGGAGAAAGCAGGGGACCUUCGGGCCUUGCGCUAUCAGAUGAGCCUAGGUCGGAUUAGCUAGUUGGUGAGGUAAUGGCUCACCAAGGCUACGAUCCGUAACUGGUCUGAGAGGAUGAUCAGUCACACUGGAACUGAGACACGGUCCAGACUCCUACGGGAGGCAGCAGUGGGGAAUAUUGGACAAUGGGC